rnacentral:rRNA from 1 species
UACAUGUGGGGCAAGCGUUGUCCGGAAUCAUUGGGCGUAAAGCGCGCGUAGGCGGCCCGAUAAGUCCGCUGUAAAAGUCAACGGCUCAACUGUUGAAAGCCGGUGGAUACUGUCGGGCUAGAGUACGGAAGAGGCAAGUGGAAUUCCUGGUGUAGCGGUGGAAUGCGCAGAUAUCAGGAGGAAUACCAGUGGCGAAGGCGGCUUCCUGGCCUGUUCUUGACGCUGAGGCGCGAAAGCUAGGGUAGCAAACGGG